UACGUAGGGUGCGAGCGUUAAUCGGAAUUACUGGGCGUAAAGCGUGCGCAGGCGGUUCGUUGUGUCGGCGGUGAAAGCCCCGGGCUUAACCGUGGAAGUGCACUCGAAACUGCAUAGCUAGAGUCCUGGAGAGGAAGGUGGAAUGCUUGGUGUAGAGGUGAAAUUCGUAGAUAUCAAGCGGAACACCGGUGGCGAAGGCGGCCUUCUGGACAGUGACUGACGCUGAGACGGCGAAAGCGUGGGGAGCAAACAGG
rnacentral:rRNA from 1 species